GAUGAAGAACGUAGCGAAAUGCGAUAAGUAAUGUGAAUUGCAGAAUUCAGUGAAUCAUCGAGUCUUUGAACGCACAUUGCACCCCCUGGUAUUCCGGGGGGCAUGCCUGUCCGAGCGUCAUUGCUGCCCUCAAGCACGGCUUGUGUGUUGGGCCCCCGUCCCCGGUUUCCCCCGGGGACGGGCCCGAAAGGCAGCGGCGGCACCGCGUCCGGUCCUCGAGCGUAUGGGGCUUUGUCACCCGCUCUGUAGGCCCGGCCGGCGCCAGCCGACACCCAACUUUAUUUCUAAGGUUGACCUCGGAUCAGGUAGGGAUACCCGCUGAACUUAAGCAUAUCAAUAAGCGGAGGA
rnacentral:misc_RNA from 1 species